rnacentral:ribozyme from 1 species
CUGGCUGCUGGCGGGACACUUUCGGGACAGCUCACUGCGGCGACGUUCAAUCCUUUGUUCACCAAAGCGGAGUGGAUGGCCCGCCGCCACAAGUGCGACGACAACUCCAGCGGUGGGGCUGCUGCUGCCGAGGG